rnacentral:rRNA from 1 species
GACGAACGCUGGCGGCGUGCUUAACACAUGCAAGUCGAACGGUGAACCUGCUUCGGUGGGGGAUCAGUGGCGAACGGGUGAGUAACACGUGAGCAACCUGCCCUCCACUUCGGGAUAAGCCUUGGAAACGAGGUCUAAUACCGGAUACGAGCACUUACCGCAUGGUGGGUGUUGGAAAGUUGUCCGGUGGGGGAUGGGCUCGCGGCCUAUCAGCUUGUUGGUGGGGUAAAGGCCUACCAAGGCGUCGACGGGUAGCCGGCCUGAGAGGGCGACCGGCCACACUGGGACUGAGACACGGCCCAGACUCCUACGGGAGGCAGCAGUGGGGAAUAUUGCACAAUGGGCGAAAGCCUGAUGCAGCGACGCCACGUGAGGGAUGACGGCCUUCGGGUUGUAAACCUCUUUCAGCAGGGAAGAAGCGCAAGUGACGGUACCUGCAGAAGAAGCGCCGGCUAACUACGUGCCAGCCGCCGCAGUAA